rnacentral:rRNA from 1 species
GACGAACGCUGGCGGCGUGCCUAAUACAUGCAAGUAGAACGCUGAAGGAGGAGCUUGCUCUUCUGGAUGAGUUGCGAACGGGUGAGUAACGCGUAGGUAACCUGCCUGGUAGCGGGGGAUAACUAUUGGAAACGAUAGCUAAUACCGCAUAAGAGUAGAUGUUGCAUGACAUUUACUUAAAAGGUGCAAUUGCAUCACUACCAGAUGGACCUGCGUUGUAUUAGCUAGUUGGUGGGGUAACGGCUCACCAAGGCGACGAUACAUAGCCGACCUGAGAGGGUGAUCGGCCACACUGGGACUGAGACACGGCCCAGACUCCUACGGGAGGCAGCAGUAGGGAAUCUUCGGCAAUGGACGGAAGUCUGACCGAGCAACGCCGCGUGAGUGAAGAAGGUUUUCGGAUCGUAAAGCUCUGUUGUAAGAGAAGAACGAGUGUGAGAGUGGAAAGUUCACACUGUGACGGUAUCUUACCAGAAAGGGACGGCUAACUACGUGCCAGCAGCCGCGGUAAUACGUAGGUCCCGAGCGUUGUCCGGAUUUAUUGGGCGUAAAGCGAGCGCAGGCGGUUAGAUAAGUCUGAAGUUAAAGGCUGUGGCUUAACCAUAGUACGCUUUGGAAACUGUUUAACUUGAGUGCAAGAGGGGAGAGUGGAAUUCCAUGUGUAGCGGUGAAAUGCGUAGAUAUAUGGAGGAACACCGGUGGCGAAAGCGGCCCUCUGGCUUGUAACUGACGCUGAGGCUCGAAAGCGUGGGGAGCAAACAGG